rnacentral:sRNA from 1 species
AGGUUUCGCCGGAAACGGCAUCCCUUCAAAACUUAAGGCCGGGCAAUUGUCCGGCCUCUUUUCUUUUCAGGG